rnacentral:rRNA from 1 species
UACGAGAGGCGCAAACGUUAUUCGGAAUUACUGGGCUUAAAGAGUUCGUAGGCGGCGCAGAAAGUAGGGUGUGAAGGCCCUCGGCUCAACCGAGGAAUUGCGCUCUAAACUACUGUGCUUGAGGGACCUAGAGGUGAGCGGAACUGAUGGUGGAGCGGUGAAAUGCGUUGAUAUCAUCAGGAACACCGGAGGCGAAGGCGGCUCACUGGGGGUCUUCUGACGCUGAGGAACGAAAGCCAGGGGAGCGAACGGG